UAUGUGAUCGUCUCUCGCAUAUCAAUAAGCGGAGGAAAAGAAACUAACAAGGAUUCCCCUAGUAACGGCGAGUGAAGCGGGAAGAGCUCAAAUUUGAAAUCUUAAAGGGUUUCCCUUUACGAAUUGUAGUUUAAAGAAGUGUUUUCUGUUGAGGUUUUGGUAAAAGUUCUUUGGAAUAGGACAUCAUAGAGGGUGAGAAUCCCGUAUUUGACCUUUACUUUCAACUUUGUGAUACACUUUCAAAGAGUCGGAUUGUUUGGGAAUGCAGUCCAAAAUGGGUGGUAAAUUUCAUCUAAAGCUAAAUAUUGGCGAGAGACCGAUAGCGAACAAGUACCGUGAGGGGAAGAUGAAAAGAACUUUGAAAAGAGAGUUAAACAGUACGUGAAAUUGUCAAAAGGGAAGCGUUUGACACCAGUGUUGUUUUUCUGAAAAUCAAUUAAAGAACUGUUUAUGCUAAGCUGUUUAGACUUUAUCAGCUAUCUGUUUAGUUUUGAGCUUUUCUUUAAUGCACUUUUCAGUUAACAAGUCAACAUCAAUUUCUUUUGCUGUAAAAAAGCUUGAGGAAGGUGGCUUGAGAUUCGUCUUAAGUGUUUAUAGCCUCUUGCCUAUGCAGUCGGAGAGAUUGAGGUCUGCAGCGUAGAUCCUUCGGGGCUAAAUGCAUUUGUGCUAAGUUAUAACAUUUUAUAGACAACUUGUUGACCAUGAUUUGUCUUGUAGCUUACUCGCUUAUGUCAUUUUACCUACGCUUAGGAUGUUGAAGUCAUCGUAUCGCGC
rnacentral:rRNA from 1 species